UGGGGAAUAUUGCGCAAUGGGCGAAAGCCUGACGCAGCGACGCCGCGUGAGGGAAGAAGGCCUUCGGGUCGUAAACCUCUGUCAGGAGGGAAGAAACCAUGGGAGUCGAACAGGCUCUCGUGCUGACGUACUCCGGA
rnacentral:rRNA from 1 species